rnacentral:rRNA from 1 species
GAUGAACGCUAGCGAUAGGCUUAACACAUGCAAGUCGAGGGGCAGCAUGGUCUUAGCUUGCUAAGACUGAUGGCGACCGGCGCACGGGUGCGUAACGCGUAUGCAACUUGCCUCACAGAGGGGGAUAACCCGUCGAAAGACGGACUAAUACCGCGUACACUUGGGAUAGGGCAUCCUGACCCAAGGAAAUGAAAUUCGCUGUGAGAUAGGCAUGCGUCCCAUUAGCUAGUUGGUGAGGUAACGGCUCACCAAGGCGACGAUGGGUAGGGGAACUGAGAGGGUGAGCCCCCACACGGGUACUGGCCCACGGACCAGACUCCUACGGGAGGCAGCAGUGAGGGAUAUUGGUCAGUGGGCGAGAGCCUGAUCCAGCCAAGUCGCGUGAAGGAAGGCUGUCUUAUGGAUUGUAAACUUCUUUUAUACGGGAAUAACAAGAGCCACGUGUGGCUCCCUGCAUGUACCGUAUGAAUAAGCAUCGGCUAACUCCGUG